GCACAAGCGGUGGAGCAUGUGGUUUAAUUCGAUGCAACGCGAAGAACCUUACCUACUCUUGACAUCCAGAGAACUUAGCAGAGAUGCUUUGGUGCCUUCGGGAACUCUGAGACAGGUGCUGCAUGGCUGUCGUCAGCUCGUGUUGUGAAAUGUUGGGUUAAGUCCCGCAACGAGCGCAACCCUUAUCCUUUGUUGCCAGCGAUUCGGUCGGGAACUCAAAGGAGACUGCCAGUGAUAAACUGGAGGAAGGUGGGGAUGACGUCAAGUCAUCAUGGCCCUUACGAGUAGGGCUACACACGUGCUACAAUGGCAUAUACAAAGAGAAGCGACCUCGCGAGAGCAAGCGGACCUCAUAAAGUAUGUCGUAGUCCGGAUUGGAG
rnacentral:rRNA from 1 species